rnacentral:rRNA from 1 species
CUACGGGACGCAGCAGUGGGGAAUAUUGCACAAUGGAGGAAACUCUGAUGCAGCAACGCCGCGUGGAGGAUGACACUUUUCGGAGCGUAAACUCCUUUUAUAUAGGAAGAAGAUGACGGUACUAUAUGAAUAAGCGCCGGCUAACUCCGUGCCAGCAGCCGCGGUAAUGACGGAGGGCGCAAGCGUUACUCGGAAUCACUGGGCGUAAAGAGCGUGUAGGCGGAUUAAAAAGUCAGAAGUGAAAUCCUAUAGCUUAACUAUAGAACUGCUUCUGAAACUCUUAAUCUAGAAUAUGGGAGAGGUAGAUGGAAUUGCUGGUGUAGGGGUAAAAUCCGUAGAGAUCAGAAGGAAUACCGAUUGCGAAGGCGAUCUACUAGAACAUUAUUGACGCUGAGACGCGAAAGCGUGGGGAGCAAACAGGAUUAGAUACCCUGGUAGUC